AAGGAAAGAAUAGUUUUGUGGGCCAGGACCAAGGUCCGGCCACUCUGUGCAGCCUGGGGACAUGGUGCCCUGAAUCCUGGCUGCCCCAGCUCCAGCCAUGGCUAAAAGGGGCCAAGGUAUAGCUCAGGCAGAGGGUGCCAGCCAUAAGCCUUGGCAGCUUCCAUGUGGUGUUAAGCCUGCAAGUACACAGAGUGUGAGAGUUGAAGCUUGGAAGCCUCUGCCUAGAUUUCAGAGGAUGUGUGGAAAUCCUUGAAUGUCCAGGAAGAUUGCUGCAGGGGUGGAGUCUGUCAGGCCUCUGAGCCCAAGCCAAGCCAUCGCAUCCCCUGUGACUUGCAUGUAUACGCCCAGAUGGCCUGAAGUAACUGAAGAAUCACAAAAGAAGUGAAUAUGCCUUGCCCCACCUUAACUGAUGACAUUCCACCACAAAAGAAGUGUAAAUGGCCGGUCCUUGCCUUAACUGAUGACACUACCUUGUGAAAGUCCUUUUCCUGGCUCAUCCUGGCUCAAAAAGCACCCCCACUGAGCACCUUGCGAUCCCCACUCCUACCCGCCAGAGAACAAACCCCCUUUGACUGUAAUUUUCCUUUACCUACCCAAAUCCUAUAAAACGGCCCCACCCUUAUCUCCGUUUGCUGACUCUUUUCGGACUCAGCCUGCCUGCACCCAGGUGAAAUAAACAGCCAUGUUGCUCACACAAAGCCUGUUUGGUGGUCUCUUCACACGGACGCGCAUGAAGUUUGGUGCCAUGACUCGGAUCGGGGGACCUCCCUUGGGAGAUCAAUCCCCUGUCCUCCUGCUCUUUGCUCCGUGAGAAACAUCCACCUACGACCUCAGGUCCUCAGACCGACCGGCCCAAGAAACAUCUCACCAAUUUCGAAUCCGCCAUGUAAAACGUGCCUCCUCCCUCUUUGCCUUCUGCCAUGAUUGUAAGUUUCCUGAGGCCUCCCAACCAUGCUUCCUGUACAGCCUGUGGAACUGGAAGUAAUGAAUCAAGGCAUUGAGCAUCAAGAGCUGCAACUACAGAAAGAAAUGACCAGACAUUAUGUGCCUCUUCUCCACAGAACACACCACGGCCUACGGCCUUAGGAGAAAGGAUUAAGCAUGAAUCUGAUCAAGACUUUGGCUCCAACUACCAAUUUGCGGGAAAUACACAGGAUGGAGGAAGAUGUUGACUCAAGCUAUGAUUAUGUAAUUUAAAAAUCCACACUGUAGAUAACUAUUCAGGUCAAAUGCAACAGAUAAAUUUUAAGAGGAAGAGAUGGAGGGAAAACUAGAGAUUAAGAGACUUAACAGCUGUUAAUUUUUUAAAUGGACAAGAUUAUACUGUCUAUUGAUGUACAUUUAGAUAAUAAAAGUAUUUAAAUAUUACACAUGAUUGAUUGCCAGGUUAGCUUAUUUUACCAUAUAAACAGAGUGGUGUAUUAUUGGGGAGGCAGGGAUUAAGACUAGGGUAGACCUUAUGGAGGGGCUUCUGGAGUGACUGGUGAAAUUCUAUUUCUUGACCUGAUUGUUUGUCUUAUAAGUCAUUAAGCAAACAUUUGUUUUGUAGCUUCUUUUGCAUCUGGUUUACUUUUAAAUAUAAAAGUUUUUUAAAGUUUA
rnacentral:lncRNA from 1 species